AACUGUUCUCCCCCCCCCCCCCAGGUGCUGAAUUUGGCAUUGAAAUGCAUUGGUCACUUUUAACAGGAAGAUGUGAGAUUGCUGAUAAUAUUCCCGUUGCAUUUGCGGUUAGGGAAAGUUGCCAUGGCAAGCUGGUGUCUCCCGCUGAGGAGGCCAAUAGAUAGGUAACGUGUGUGUUCCCCCCCCUCCCCAAAUGGUUUAUCCUUGUACCAGCAGCUGCAGUUAUGUCAACAAGCCGUCGUGCCCGAACCAUUUGCAGAACUGGGUGGGGGGGACAUCUUUUUCGCGGUCAUUAUUGAUUUUUAUAUUUAGGAUUUUUUUAUUUAUAUUUAUAUUUUCUAAAUUAUAUUUAGAAAACACUAACGUAAAAAAUGGAAUGCUAUCGUUGAAAACGGAAAACAGAGAAAACAGCACCGAAAGAUGCCAAUUGGGUUAGCCUAAAUUACAAAUAGUUUACAAGAGGUGGAAGAUUAAGUUCAUCUGAUUUAAUUGGCUAGCAACGAACGAAUUAAAAUCCCAGUAUUGCCAUUACUUUUACUGGUUUGUUCAGUGUAAACACAUCUGAUGACAAGUUCAUCCGAUCUCCUAAAGUGACUUAAAGGAGUGUGUAGCGAUAGCUACUGCAAGGACAACAUACAAGCCCUCACACUCCUAACUCUCCUCCCCCAAGUGAUUGAGGUCAUACACUUUUUAGGUAGCCGUUCCCCUUUUUUCAGUACAGGAUGGAAUUCGCAUAAGCUCCCCCUGCAGGUCGAAACAGGAACACCCAUCCCCAACACAGGUUCGUAACAGCAGCACUGUAGGCCCGGAACUGGGUUAUUAAGCAUGUCCACCGUCAUCAAAUGUCAAAACAAGGCCUCACACUGUCCUCCAGGAAUUAUCAUGGUAUGAAAUGUAACUUCCCAGGUACCAACACUUGUGGCAGAAGCGACCAGCGGCACCGCGGAUUAAAAUCCCACAGCUGACGAUGCGUUAGUGUCAAAAAGCGAGUGGGCUGCACGAAAGCCACAGGCUGUAAGGUGUCGUCUUACCUUUUUACCUCUCCUCCGUCUCCCAGCAACUACAUCAGCACCAUCUGCCACAUGCAGGCAGCGAUCCACUCCUUUGAUGGAAACAUGACUUAGGAAUUUGACUCUGAUUGAUGUCACACAUAAAGGCGGAAAUGCGAUCCACAUUCUCUGUGCACAGAGAACAUUUCUGUUGAGUGAAAGGCUCUCCAUCCGUCCCUGCUUUUUGCUUCUGGUAGAACCGUGGCAGUAACAUCCUAUCAUUGUGAGUGAUAACGAUAGUUAAAAUAUGGCUUAUAAACAAAUCUUUGUCAUGAUAAUUAUCACGAUAAUUAAAUAUGUCAUGAUAAUUAUAUUUCUGAAAUUGGCUAAUAAUAAUGCUAAUAGUAGUAAUAAUAUGAUGGCUUGUCGUCCUGGUCUAGGGUCCUUUGUUAUUGUUAGCAUGAUAGCACCUGUAAGCUGGUAUUUCAUGUUCCUCAGCGGUCCUCUCACUGAUAUUGCCGCUCAGCCUUAACUAAUUAAAGAAUUUGGUGAAAAUACAGUGAAUACGUAUCCAUGAGCGCUUAGCCAGUGCAGGACUGCAGAAUGGCUGGAGUAUGUCCCAGGAAGCACAGAGCAUGAAGAAGGAGGCAUUUGGGAUGGGAUUCCAGGCCACAGUAUGGCUGAAUUAGAGAUGCUAAUCCGGCAAAACAAUGCGUCUUUAGAUGAUGGGAGGAAUCCAGAGAACCCAGUGAAACCCAGGCAUUAGCCAGGGUUCGGUCGGGAUCCAGACCCACUGCUCUGGAGGUGCUAGGCUUCAAUGCUAUGUGCUAGGUCCCUACCAAUGUAACACGCUACUUCCCUAUCAAUGUAACGCAUUACUUCCCUAUCAAUGCUAUGUGCUAGGUCCCUACCAAUGUAACACGCUACUUCCCUAUCAAUGUAACGCAUUACUUCCCUAUCAAUGCUAUGUGCUAGGUCCCUACCAAUGUAACACGCUACUUCCCUAUCAAUGUAACGCACUACUUCCCUAUCAAUGCUACGCACUACUUCCCUAUCAAUGCUACGCACUCGGUCCCUAGCAAUGUUAUGCUCUAGGUCCCUAUCAAUGUAAUGCGCCACUUCCCUAUCAAUGCUAUAUGCUAGGUCCCUAUCAAUGCUAUAUGCUAGGUCCCUAUCAAUGCUAUAUGCUAGGUCCCUAUCAAUGCUAUGCGCUAAGCUGCCAGUUGACCUCGGA